GUGCACCAGGGAUAAGCCUUUUGGAUCAACUCUAGACCCUCACCAUAGUGUUCUUUUAGAGAAGACUUAUGACUUCUGGAAUUAAAUAAAUGUUUCACAGGAAAAUAUCAGCACUACUUGUCUGUCUUGACUGCGGAACUCAAAAUGGCUUUUAGAGAAAGGAGGGAUGAAAUGGGGACCUGGUUGCAUUUAUUUAAAAGUUAUAUCCACCCGUGCAAUAGGACACAUUUUGCAAGUAGCCUGUUUGACUUGAAGACAAGUGCAAAUGGAAAGGAAGGCAGAUGCCUUACAUAGUGUACAAUCUUGCCAUGUUCCUUUGCCAAUUAAUCAUUUCAAGGUAAGUACAUUUUCUAUUAUUAAAUCUGUAUUUUAUCUGGAAUUUCUCCUCAUAGCUUAUCACAUCACUUUACUAAAGUGAUUCUGCCUUGUUCCACAUUAUAGUUCCUGAUGUGCAGUGUAUAGGAUAACUUAUACUUAAUUUAAAUUAAUUCCUCUAUCAAACCUGUAAGGCACUUUAUCCCCGUUCUGUCAAUGCUUUGCUGACUUCUAUACAUUGUCAGAAGGCCUCAAAGAAUGAAAAUAUGUCUAAUUAUGCUAUUUUAUUUUUGAAUUUCUUCAUGAUUCCUUGCCUUUCUGAUGAGAGGGUGGAGCACCAUCCCUGGAGCAAUGGAAGGACUGUGAUCGGUGAAAGGAUGGUGACAAGGGGCAGCUGCUGUAGAGGGGAUGAAGUAAGCUGCUGUUUGGACCUUAAAGGGGAUGGAAAGAGCCUUCUAUGGACCAGAGAGGUCUAAAUUUGCUGUAGUUCAAAUAGGUCUUAAUUGCAAUCAACCCUGCAGCUGAUGCCAUGCCUCCAAGGACACAGCCGAUAUUGAAGUGACUGAUGUAGAGAUUUCUGUGUGGGGAAGACAUGGAUUAACCAAGGCUGCUGAAGCUGAAUUUGUGGUGGUGCACCGGAACUCGUUGGUACCCUUUCCAUACAUCAGCCCCCUGGGUGCUGUCGGCAUCGGCAUCUAGACCUGAGUUGAAUUUUAGCAUGUGGUUGGCAGGGUUCUGAUUUCAUACACUCACUGUAUAGGCUUGUGAUCUCGAAGGCCCAGAUCUGUCUGCUCUGCUCUGCCGUCUUCAACGGAACACUCUCUAAAACAGAAUCUUUUGGCUGCGUAGAAAUUGAUAGAAAAUGCAUCUCUAUUUAUUCAGAACACACCCUUGCGCUGAAGGGGAGACAAAGGCAAGUUUGGGUAGUUAAAUGUCUUAUCUGGGGUUCUGAAAUCAUUAUUUGCUAGUCACCAAAGAAUGCAAUUCCACCAUUCACCUCGGUAAAAGAAUGGUUUUCUGGUAUAUCCUAAAGCUAUUGAUAAUCUGUGUCUAAAUAUCAUAUGAAAAGCAAUAGACUAUCCAAAAUACAGCUUCUGAAACUUGCUAGUGCUCUUUGUAUUGUCACUGCAGCGUGGCGCUUUCUUAAGGACCAAAAUAACUGCAUCUAGUAUUUAUUCUUUUUGGUGCCAUCAGCGGUGAUGCCUUCCCAUUUACAAUUCUUAUCUCAAAGCCUGAUAUUUGGGAAGCUGAGCUGUUUCAUAGCUCUUACUUUGAAAGAACUGCAGGCAGUCAACCACUUUGUCAGGUUGAAAGCAGAUAAAAGGAACUACCUUUUCCACAGCAUGUUGUUAAGUUGCAAAAUUUAUUGCCAUAAGAGACUGUGAAGACUGAAAGUGUAAAUGGGUUCCAAAAAUGAGUUAGCAGAAUCUGUUGGUUGCUACUAAACAUGAUGAUCUACAAGCACAUGCCAGCACAGAGAGUUCCUAAACUUGUCAUCAGAGCUGAGGAAGAUGCUGUGGAAGGCUUGGUUUCUUAGGGUGCUGUGUAGGAGUCUUCCAGACACUCCAUCAACAGAUCUUAUAUAGUGGGUUUUACUUGAGUGCGGCAAGAACUGAGUAAAACAGAGUAGCAUGACACAAGCAGUAAAACCCCAUUCCUAAGGUCGUCCUAUGGAAAUGAAACUAUUUUGCUUCUACCAAAGCAGCUUUGCAAGCAUUUGCUUCCUCAUGAGUAAUGGCAAUAAUAGAUGAGGAGAACACAUUGUCAGGGGAGUUGUUUCCUGCCUGAUGCAAUGGAUAUUUGAGUGCAGCCAUAGCAUGAGGUAAAGAUCAAGGGAUAAAUAUUUCUCACCAUGGCACAUUUUUGCAAAUUAAAUCAAUAUCUUGCUUGGUUAAUAGCAAUCGUAUUAAUCAUUGUUCAGCUGGAAAGGGGCAGCGUUGCACAAUUUUCAGGAAGCCUGCUGCUGUUGUAAACCAUUCUCUGCACGUUGACUGCUUUGAAACUUUAAAUUCUGCCCAGACAAGACUUCCAGGUGGAAAAGGAGAAGAAUACUUAAACUUUUGGUAGCCUUUAGAGGAAGGAAAUGGCUAAAUCGUAGCCCACCACUAGAAAGCACAAGAGGCUGAUUGCUGGGAAGCUGCCCUGUUGCUGUCAUCCCUCAGGCAGUGAGAAACGGUUGUUUGGACUAAAAGAAGAUAAUUCUGGUCUCUUGUAAAGGAUGAAGUGAACUCAACAAUUUUUAAUCACAUGGUGAAUAGCAGUAUCAUAUUAGCUACUAAAUUCACCAAGAAUUUAGGGAAUUUAAUCCAUUAAUCUUCAGUCUCUGCAUAGACAAGAAGUCAUGGAGAUAAUGAGUCACCUGAGGCAAUAAGAUUCAGUAGAAAUCAAGCAGCUAAUUUCUAUAUGUGCCUGUGAAUAUUUCUUUCAGGAAUCCUAUCUCUUUCUCUUGAGAGAAGUAUUAUUAGCACCUUCUGCACUCCUUUCAUGCCAGAAUGCUUGAGGAACCACAUCUAAGCCUGGGACUCUGUGCUCUUGCAGUCAUUUGUGUCUGGUUUUUAAUGUUGAGUAAUUCAUGAAGAGUGUUCGCUAAUCUAAAGGUGUUAAACAAGCAUUCUGAAUUUGUCUGUUUUUUUUAAUAUUUAAAAUCUUCAGCUGUUUCUGUUGUCAUUUGUAAACUGUGGACUUGGAACACAUUUCAUUUUUAAGUAAUCCUUUGUUCAGAGGACAUUUUACCCCACAUAUUUUACUGGUUCCGUUUCCAGGUUGUUGUUGGGUAAUUUUCUGGAGGGUUUCUUCGUCUACUUCCAGUAAUGCUCUUCCCAGCAGAAGAAAUACGUAUUUAUUCUCAUUUUUUCAGUCUAGAUUUCAAGUAAUUGCACCAAAUACAGCUUCUUUUUCUCUUAUCACGUUUGGGUUUUGAAUUUCCAGGUUCUACACAAUAGCUUAGAAUCAAAUCACUAAAAGAGGGGGUAUCAGAACGUGCAUGUGUGUGCGUGGUGGGGUGAUGUGGUGGAAUUCAGGUAUAUCAGCAGGGAAAAAUCAAUGUUUAUCAUGAUCUUUUCUCAGAGUGAAAUGGACUGAGAAAGGAUGUUAUGUAGCAUGAAAUCAUGUAGAAUGACCUUGAAAGAAUUUAGAAGGCAAUCAUGAGCGUUCUGUCUGAGCCUGCAGAUUUAUUAUAGCACAAAGAUGCUGUGAGUUCACCUAUUAUACUACUAAGCAAACAGAGGAUUUAUAAUGGACAUCUGUGUGAUUAAAAGCUCAAUCCCCAGAGAGUGGUGAACACCUCAUGAUUUACAAAUAGAAAAAACAUGACUGAGAUGUUAAAAGACCUUCCCCAUGCUUGGAAUUAAUUUCAUAUUAGGGGAGUUUAGAAUGUGGCCUCUUUUUCCAUUGUGUAAGGAAUGAUUCAAUCCUUGAUAAAUUUAUUAUAUGUUUUUAUUUUUACUUUCUGAUUCUGAGUAUAUGUACCUGAUUAUUUUGGAAGCUUUGCAUGCAAAAGAGACUUAGAAAGGAGUCCUGCCAUUUCACAGAAGCUAUGGGAUUGUUAUAAAUUUGUUCUCUCCAGCCACCACAGGACAAAUGUUUCUCACUCGGUUAUAUUCAUUCUAGUCACAAUUCCUACAUCUCCUUAAAUUCCAUCCUAUAACUCUGCCCAAGAAAGAUAAUAUUUCUUGAAGACUCAAUGGGAAAUAAUGUGUAUCAUUGCUAAAUAAACUCAGGGUGAGCACGUAGGAUGCUUACAUGUGGAUGAAAUUAAUUCUGAAAAAUAUUCUUAUCAUGAGCUGGCCAUGUUCACACUGAUAGUACAGGGCAGUGUGUCAAAAUUCAUUCCAUUCUGCAGAUUCCUUGGAAAACUGCAAUUAACAGAUACUAGCUGAUGGUUUUCAAAUGUCUCAAUGUGAUACAUAGGAGAUUCUUCUGUAUUUCAAGGAACCAGAAAAUCUGUUCUUGCUCUUUUCACUUGUUAAAAAAUAAUUUGCUCUAGAAGCACUUUGGCUUCUGCAAGUUAAUUUCCCUGUCACUUAAUUUUCAUUAUAUUUUUAUUAAUCAGUGUCAGUCUGAUUUUCAGCUGCCAUCACGCUCUCAUCUGCCUACCUGACCUAUCCAGCAAGCCUUUACUUAAUUUUUAUGUGAUUCUUAAUGUCCUCUGCUUAUCAAAAAAUCAGCUGCUAAAUGGACAAGUAAGUGGGAAGCUGAUACGUUGAUUUCCAAUAUUUUCAUAGUAAUUAACCCACAGUUGUCUGAAGGAAUGCUAAUAAUGUGAUGUAGCAUUUUGGUCUGUAUUUUCAUAACCAAAAACUGCCUCAAAAUGCAAUUCUUUUGUUCACCACUGACUCAGAUACCACAGUAUGAGUUGAAACAGCUUUGAAGUAGAGAGGCAUUUUUUUGCAACACAAACAUAUGAGAAGUAUUUCAUGUAUUUGGAAGAUCUGCUAAAUGCAAAGACCUCUUUCAAGGUAUGUACUUAUAACUGAAGCAUUAUAAACAACAGGCUGCAAAGGUAAAUCGUGACUGCAUAUAGAUUCUCCAUCCCUGGAGGUGUUCAGGGCCAUGUUGGAUGAGGUUUUGAGCAACCUGAUCCAGUGGGAGGUGUCGCUGCCCAUGGCAGGGGUGGGACUGGAUAGGCUUUAAGGUCCCUUCCAACCCAAACCUCUCCAUGAUUCUGUUAUUCUUAUCUUUAUCAGCUGUAAUGCUCUUACACGUGUUUUAGGGAAAGUACGUUGCUUUGUGUUGA